UCAAACAAUAGUACACAGAUCAAAAAGUGAAAUCAAAUGUUUAUUUCUAAAAAACUAAUUUAUUUCUAUUUAUCCAGUGCUUUUGUGUUUUUUAAUCGCCACGCAAAUAAUAGAACCUUCUGCCAAGCAAUGUAUUAACAGUAAAAUGUCUCAAGGACCCGAGGAAAAUCCAAUCCAUACAGAUAAAGAUAUUGUAGCUAUUUCCAAAGAAAAUGGCUCAUUAUGCGAAAUUACUGAUAAUUCAGGGGUGGUAACAAACGACGCCUGCUCUGUUGUGGGCUCUGCAUCAUCUGAUUCUGAAGAGUCGCCGUCAAAGCAUUCGGAAACUUUACGUCAAGACAUCGAAAGUAUAUCAGCCAAAGUUGUUCAAAAUGAAAGUGUCUCCACACACAGUAGUCUAGUUUCUCAUUCACCCGAUAGUGAUGAUCUCAGUGACGUCCUAGUUAAUCGUAGUGACACUCAGACAAACGAAAAUAAUCAUGUCUCUUUGGACAAAGAUGAUAAUGAACCAAUUGAAGUAAUAAUACAGCCUUGUACAAAAGAAAACAAAGUAACAUUCCCAGCUACUGACCAUGAUGAUAAAAACAAUUUUGACUUAAACACUGAUUUGAAUAAUUUCACUAACAAAGCUUUAACAACAUCUACAACAAGUUUAGAUCACCAAAGAGUUCAGGACUCAAUAUCCAAAUCACCAUUAAGUCGUAGUGCUGAGGAUAUUUCAAAAGUAGAACUACCCCAAGAGAAAUUGAAUUUAAGUGCAAAAGAGUUGAAUACUGAAGAAAUACUGGCACAAUUUGUGAGCCAAAAACCUAAAGCUGGUGCUACACAGAAGAUAAUAGACAGUCCACAGAUUAUACAAAAUUUAGAUGUGAGAUAUGCUAAAAUACCAAAAGAGUUAUUAUCCCAAGAUUUAGGCAGUAUUGUAAAGAAUGUACAUGGCAUUUUUUCAUCUGUGAGUGGCAGUCUGAAAAGUGCUUAUAAUAGCAGCCAAAGAGUUUUGCCACAACAAAAAGCUCCUGUAAAAUUAGUUAAAAACUUGCCAAAUGGCAAAGUAAUGAAAGAUAUAUUCGAAGAUGAAUUAACAGAGGACAGGCCACAAAUAAUUAGUGUUGAAAAAACAAAUGAGUCUGAAAUUCUGAAUACGAAGUCUGAUUUGAAUUUGGAAUCUGAGGGUGAGGAUGUGAAAGGAGAUGUUUUGAAGUUACAGGUAGAAUCUUUAGAGAAGUUGUUGGCGGAACAGAGAAAGGAGAAUGGUUUGUUGAGAGACAGAGUAAAACAGCAGCUAGAUGAGUUACAAGAGAGAGAUCAGACUUUUAAAGAGCUGGAAGUGAAGUUGGACUUGAUGAGCAAGCGAGUAGAACAAGCGGAGCGUGAAAAAGACGCUGCUGUGAUGCGGUACGCGAGUGUAGAAUGUGCCGCUAUAGAAGCCAAGCGAGCCGCCGAGAAGGCCGCAGCGGCUGAGAGAGCGGCUGUCAGCGAGACGGAACUGCUCAGCAACAAGCUGAAGUCCGCUCACGUGGAGAAGCAGAGGAUCUGUCAGCUUUAUGAUGACAAGUGUCACGAAUUGUCCAAUAAAGAAAGAGAGGUCGCGAAGGUGCGUGAGGAGUUGCGCGAGCUGGAGGGGAGGCUGAAGUGGACCCAGAGCAAGCUGCGGGUGGAGAUGGACGCUUACAAGGAUAGUUCAGAACGCGCCGAGAAGCUCUCCCAACAGUUGGCGGAACUUGAGGCCGCUAAAGAGAACGCCGCCGUCAACGCCGCGGAGUUGGCGCGGACAAAGCAGUUAGAAACGGAACUAAAGGAAUGUCGUGCAGAUCUCAUACUGUGUCGCCAUGAGAGAGAGGAGUUGGAGAAGAGAUUGACAACCGCCAACCAGCAGCUGGAGAGCUGUCGGCGAGAGCGGGACGGAUAUAGCGAGGCUCUCACUCGCACUACUGCCGAGGUGGAAAAGCUGAAGAUGAGCAACCUUCAGCUCGAGGAAGAGGCUGCCGAGCUGGCCGCCCUGAGGGCCCAGGCCGCAUUGGCGGACACGCUCAGCGCUCAGCUGCAGAGGGAAUCCGAGCGAGCGUUGAGAGCGGAAGAAGCGCUGGUGGAAUCGCAAGCGCUCGCUCAAACCUGCGCUCGGCGGGAGGCGCUCGCGCUCGAGCACGCCGCGCGCCUCACCGCCGCGCACGUCGCCGAGCGCGCGCGUGCGCAGCAGACCGACGGCAAGGCCCAAGCCCUCACGGCAGACAACGCCUCCCUCCGGGAACAAGUGAAGGGUCUGGAGGCAGAAGUCAGCAAGCUCACCGCCGCCUUGUCCGAGGAAGUGGAGAGGCGGAACAAGGAGAACCGCGUGCUCGCCAGGAAGGUAGCAGAGUUGACGGAAGAAGUUGCCGAAGCCAAUAAGAAGCUGGAGUGGGAGAAGGGAGAGAAUGGAGUUCUCAAGAAGAAGCAUGCCAGCGCUGUGAAGGAGCUAAACCGUGAACUACAACGGGCUUUGAAGCGCUGCGAGCAACUCGAAGCGAAGCUGACACCGCCUGACGCCACCUCCACCAGAACUGGGUCUGUGUCGUCACUUAGCAGUGGAGAGAGUGCGGCCGUGGAAGAGCGGUUGCAGAAUGGUCACGACGCACUGCCAGAUAUACAGGUUCGCGAGCCUGACAAGCAAGCGUUGAUCGAACGGAUAGUGUCCCUGCAGCGAGCCGCCGCCAGGAGGGCCGAGCGCUGCGAGUUCCUGGAGGAGCACUCCAAGCAGCUGACAGACGAGCUGCGAGCCAAGUCCAGGCUGCUGAGACAGCUGCUGUUGGAGCUGCCGGCCGACACCGUCACUUCUCAGCGGCGGGACAUCAACAAGGUCACUCUUAUGGCACUCUAUACUGUCAGUUCCCACAGGAGCACUCCAAGCAGCUGACGGACGAGCUGCGAGCCAAGUCCAGGCUGCUGAGACAGCUGCUGUUGGAACUACCGGCGGACACAGUCACUUCUCAGCGGCGGGACAUCAACAAGGUCACUCUUAUAGGACUCUGUACUGCCAGUUCCCACAGGAGCUCUCCAAGCAGCUGACAGACGAGCUGCGAGCCAAGUCCAGGCUGCUGAGACAGCUGCUGUUGGAGCUGCCGGCCGACACCGUCACCUCUCAGCGGCGGGACAUCAACAAGGUCACUCUUACAGCACUCUAUACUGUCAGUUCCCACAGGAGCACUCCAAGCAGCUGACAGACGAGCUGCGAAACAAAUCCAGGCUGCUGAGACAGCUGCUGUUGGAGCUGCCGGCCGACACCGUCACUUCUCAGCGGCGGGACAUCAACAAGGUCACUCUUAUAGGACUCUGUACUGUCAGUUCCCACAGGAGCACUCCAAGCAGCUGACGGACGAGCUGCGAGCCAAGUCCAGGCUGCUGAGACAGCUGCUGUUGGAGCUGCCGGCCGACACCGUCACCUCUCAGCGGCGGGACAUCAACAAGAAAGAGAUGGCGCGUCUAGGAGGCGGGGCCAUGGCGGCCGUGUGGGGGGGCUCCGCGGACGGGAUGACGCUGGACCUCUCUCUGGAGAUGAACAGGAGGCUGCAGGCUGUGCUGGAGGACGCUCUUCUUAAAAACAUCACACUUAAGGAAAACAUGGACACAUUAGGUGCGGAGAUCUCAAGGCUAAAAGAGCAAAUAAAACAGGAUAAGAAAUAAAAUUAUAUCACUCGUUAUAAAUACAUAUGAGGAUUAUGUUUUAAACUUUUUUCGUGACGCGCAUGUUACGAAACUAGUAUCAAUGUCAUCAUGACACUGUAAAUUGUAUAAAUGUAGGGGGAAAAAAACAGAUAAUAUAUGUGUUCUAGACAUGAACUAGAAUGAUCAGCAGCUUGGCAUUAAAAUGGAGAGAGUAGAAUUUAUUAAAAUAUAGAGGUCAAUUGUGGUUCCCGGCACCAAUACAAAAAAGAAUAGGACCACUCCAUCUCUUUCCCGUGGAUGACGUAAAUGGCGACUAAGGGAUAGGCUUACAAACUUGGGAUUCUUAUUUUAGGCGAUGGGCUAGCGACCUGUCACUAUUUGCAUCUCAAUUCUAUCAUUAAGCCAAAUAGCUGAACGUGGCCAUUCAGUCUUUUCAAGACUGUUGGCUCUGUUUGCCCCGCAAGGGAUAUAGACGUGAACAUAUGUAUGUAUGUCAAUGUGACACACUUUACACUGUCUAUGUUCUUAUGAAGGUCAGUGUACAUAUCAGUUCACAAUGUACAUUCGCCAGGUUAAACAUUUAAUAAAUGACUCUUGAAAAUGUAUGUUCGCAGUGACAUCGUCAGAUAUAUGUAUAUGUAUACUUUUUGUUAUAUCCUGUACAAUAAAAUAACAUUUAUUCAUUCAAUAUUAUUCACGCUAAUAUUUCUUAUGGAACAAUUUGCUGACACCACCUAUAUAAUCUGUAUUUAUAUUU